UCCCUGGUGGUCCAGCGGCUAAGACUCUGAACUCCCACUGCAGGAGGCACAGGUUCAAUUACUGUUUGGGGAA
rnacentral:tRNA from 1 species